UUAUCUGGUUGAUCCUGCCAGUAGUCAUAUGCUUGUCUCAAAGCUUAAGCCAUGCAAGUCUAAGUGCAAACUUGAACAAAGUGAAACCGCGAAAAGCUCAUUAAAUCAGUCAUGGUUCACUGGAGCCUAUUCACCUUGAAUGGAUAACUGUGGUAAUCCUAGAGCUAAUACAUGCAACUAAGUCCCGUCCAGUGAUGGUAAGGACGCUUUUAUUAGAUCAAAACCAAACGGAUUCGUCCGUGUAUUUUGAUGACUCUGAGUAACACACAACUGAUCGCAACGGUCCUCGUACCGGCGACUCAUCUUUCAAAUGACUGACUUAUCAACUGUCGAUGGUAGAUUAAAUGUCUACCAUGGUUGUUACGGGUAACGGGGAAUCAGGGUUCGAUUCCGGAGAGGGAGCCUGAGAAACUGCUACCACAUCCAAGGAAGGCAGCAGGCGCGCAAAUUACCCAAUCCCGACACGGGGAGGUAGUGACAAUAAAUACUGAUACAGGGCUCUAGCCGCGGUAAUUCCAGCUCCAAUGGCGUAUAUUAAAGUUGUUGCGGUUAAAAAGCUCGUAGUUGGUUCUGUGUGCCACGCUGUCGGUUCACCGCCUGCCGGUGCAACUGGCAUGCCGUGGGAUGUCUUGCCGGAGGGGGCCGAGGUUCGCAGCGCAGGCUUCCCGCCUCGCUGCCGGGCCGAGGUCCUCGAUCACGCUGCCACGGUGCUCUUGAUCGAGUGUCGGGGCAGGCCGACAAGACUACUUUGAACAAAUUAGAGUGCUUAAAGCAGGCCUAACGUUGCCUGAAUAGUUGUGCAUGGAAUAAUGGAAUAGGACCUUGUUUCUGUUUUGUUGGCUUUCGGAAUUCAAGGUAAUGAUCAAUGUGGACAGGCGGGGGCAUUCGUAUUGCGACGUUAGAGGUGAAAUUCUUGGAUCGUCGCAAGACGAACUAGAGCGAAAGCAUUUGCCAAGUAUGUCUUAGUUGAUCAAGAACGAAAGUUAGAGGCUCGAAGGCGAUCAGAUACCGCCCUAGUUCUAACCAUAAACGAUGCUAGCCAGCAAUCCGCCGAUGUUCCUCCGAUGACUCGGCGGGCAACCCCCGGGAAACCAAAGCUUUUGGGUUCCGGGGGAAGUAUGGUUGCAAAG
rnacentral:rRNA from 1 species